rnacentral:rRNA from 1 species
UUACGCUGUUAUCCCUAAGGGUAAUUUAGUCUUCUAAUCAAUAAUAAUGGAUCAAUAUUAAAUUAAUUUAUUCACAAAAUAUUAAAAGAGUUAAUUAUAUGUUUUUAUCACCCCAAUCAAAUAUAAAAAUAAAUUAAUAUAAUUACAAACUAAUCAAAUUUAUCUUAAUAUAAAAUUCUAUAGGGUCUUCUCGUCCCAAAAAAAAAUUUAAGUUUUUCAACUUAAUAAUUAAAUUCUAAUUAAUUCAAAUUAAGACAGUUAUUAUCUCGUCCAACCAUUCAUUCCAGCUUCUAAUUAAAGAAACUAAUGAUUAUGCUACCUUUGCACGGUCAUAAUACCGCGGCCCAUUAAAAUUAUUAUUGGGCAGGUUAUAUCUCCUAAAUUUACAAGAAAAGAUGUUUUUGUUAAACAGGCG